rnacentral:misc_RNA from 1 species
GGAAAAGAAAAAUUACUAUUUUUAUUAAUAAAUAAAUAUUACAUUAUUCUUAAAUUGCCAUCAUUGAUUUAAUACAUGUAGAAACCUCGUUGAAUUUGAUAUGCACAUCUUUUUAAUUCUCACUGAAAUCUAACCAAUUAUUUAACAGGGAGAUAAUUCCGACUUGAAACACCCGAUUUCCCACGAUUUGAACAACACAACUAAUUUGGCUACAAUGCUACUGGGUACGAUUUAUUUAAUCUUAGAUCCUAAGAUCAUUUGAAGAUCAUCAAUUUUCUCUGCCAUGCCAAAUAACAAAUACAUAAACCUCUUUUUCCUUAUAAACCAUUGACAAUCCAGUUGAAUCAAAGCAAACAGAUCUAACUUCUCAGAUAAUUCAAACAGUUUCGACAACUUAUUUGCUGCCUUCUCAUCCCAAACUCCCAAGAACUAUGCUCGGCAAUUUACUGUAGUACUUUUAGGCUCGGCACAGGUUGCUGUUACUAUCAAUGGCUCAACCACAGGAUUUGGAGGAGCAUUUUCAUCCCUGCUACUCACAUGCUUCUCAUUUAAUCUAAGAAAAAACUCUUCAAAGCAAUCAUCCAAGGUACGAAAAGCCUCAUCAGGAUACAGAGAGCACACUUCAACAUCAUUAGGACCAUCAAUUGAAAAAUUUAUUUGGCAACCCUUGAUGAAAAUAUCGUGGGUGAAUGAUGCAACAACACUUUCUGGUAUGCGAUUCUCUGCAGGAAAAAAUGAACAAGAAACAAAGAAAAAUACCCUUUUUGUUAUUAUUAUUAAUUUGCUAUAAGAUGUAGAGUAGAAAAGCAACAAGAUAGAAAUUAGAAUGAACCUGCAGCUGCAGCAAGCAGAUCUUCUUCAGUGAUUGUAGAUCGAGGGAGGGUCCUUCCAAUUUUCUUUUCCCAUAAAGCUGCAAGCUCGUUUAUGUUGUAAAAAUUGCAGGGUGGUCGGAAAUGAACUGACUUGUUCAGAGUCCGAACAUCAUCCACAAUUUUCAUUGUAAAUUUCCCAAUGUCUGUCCCAGCAACGAAAUAUGCUUUAACAUUGCCAUCACCGUAGAUUUGGAACUUAUCGAGCGGUGGAUGAACCUCUGAGGGGUGAGUAUUGUCAAAGUAGGGCCAUGAAGCAAUAGAAUUGCAACAAAUGUAGGUGAAAGGUAUACCGUACUCUUCAAUCAAGUCUCUAACCUUGCGCUUCUCAAUGUACAUUCGGAGACCAGGCUCCACCGGCUCUGUCCUGUUCACGUCGUGCCCAAAUUCCGAUGGCAAAAAUCUCUUAACAGUGCCCACAGCUUUAAUAGCUUCGACAAGAGGAAGCUGAUCCAAUAUUUUCUCACCACCUACAGCUGAUAUUACUAUUUCAAUCUUAUGCUCUUUAAGUAUCUUCUCCAUCUUUUCCUUUUGAUUAAUCAAUCCGUGCAAGACUUUGGCUCCCUUCUCCUCAAGAGACCUGAGAACUUUAGCCUUAGAAGGGCAAGUAGGAGUGGAGCGGACAAGAACAUAGGUCGGUCUACCGGAGGCUAAGCAGGCAUCAGCUACAAAAUGACCUAUAAAACCAGUUGCUCCGGCGAUGAGGACUGGACUCUUCACUUUGGGAACAGAAGUUGCAGGAAUAGUCAUGCUGUGUCUGAAUACGAAAAGGGGUUGGGCUGCUUUAGAUUUUGUGCCAAGGGACUGAGAAAUAUUGAAAAAAUUUGACGAGGGUUGGAGAAAAAUAUUGCACAUGUAAAGUUAUUUAUAGGGAAUUAAUUGUGGUAGGAGUUUAUAAUCACAGCCAAAAAUACAAAUUAAUGACAAA